UCGACCGGGGCGACAGACAAUAUGAAGGUCAGGCUGAAGACCUUACCGGAUUAGCUGAGAGGUGGUGCAUGGCCGUCGUCAGUUCGUACUGUGAAGCAUCCUGUUAAGUCAGGCAACGAGCGAGACCCACGUCCACAGUUGCCAGCAUACCCUCCGGGGUGAUGGGUACACUGUGGAGACCGCCGCUGCUAAAGCGGAGGAAGGAAUGGGCAACGGUAGGUCAGUAUGCCCCGAAUCUCCCGGGCUACACGCGGGCUACAAUGGUUGGUACAAUGGGCAUCUACCCCGAAAGGGGAAGGAAAUCUCUUAAAGCCAAUCGUAGUUCGGAUUGAGGGCUCGCAACCUCGGCCCUCACUUGGAAGCUGGAAUCCGGUACGUUAAUCCGCGUUUCCAACAGAACGACGGUGAAAUAACGUUCCCUGGCUCCUUG
rnacentral:rRNA from 1 species